UACGGAGGGUGCGAGCGUUAAUCGGAAUUACUGGGCGUAAAGCGCACGCAGGCGGUCAUUUAAGUGAGAUGUGAAAUCCCCGGGCUUAACCUGGGAAUUGCAUUUGAGACUGGUAGGCUAGAGUACUGUAGGGGGGGGUAGAAUUCCACGUGUAGCGGUGAAAUGCGUAGAGAUGUGGAGGAAUACCGAUGGCGAAGGCAGCCCCCUGGGAAAGGACUGACGCUCAUGUGCGAAAGCGUGGGGAGCAAACAGG
rnacentral:rRNA from 1 species